rnacentral:rRNA from 1 species
AGAUUGAACGCUGGCGGCAGGCCUAACACAUGCAAGUCGAGCGGUAGAGAGGUGCUUGCAUCUCUUGAGAGCGGCGGACGGGUGAGUAAUGCCUAGGAAUCUGCCUAGUGGUGGGGGAUAACGUUCGGAAACGGACGCUAAUACCGCAUACGUCCUACGGGAGAAAGCGGGGGACCUUCGGGCCUCGCGCCAUUAGAUGAGCCUAGGUCGGAUUAGCUAGUUGGUGAGGUAAUGGCUCACCAAGGCGACGAUCCGUAACUGGUCUGAGAGGAUGAUCAGUCACACUGGAACUGAGACACGGUCCAGACUCCUACGGGAGGCAGCA